UGGGGAAUUUUGCGCAAUGGGGGAAACCCUGACGCAGCAACGCCGCGUGGAGGAUGAAGUACUUCGGUACGUAAACUCCUUUCGAUCGGGACGAUUAUGACGGUACCGGAAGAAGAAGCCCCGGCUAACUUCGUGCCAGCAGCCGCGGUAAUACGAGGGGGGCAAGCGUUGUUCGGAAUUAUUGGGCGUAAAGGGUGCGUAGGCGGUUUGGUAAGUCUUUUGUGAAAUCUAUGGGCUCAACUCAUAGACUGCAAGGGAAACUGCCGGGCUUGAGUAUGGGAGAGGUGAGUGGAAUUUCCGGUGUAGCGGUGAAAUGCGUAGAUAUCGGAAGGAACACCUGUGGCGAAAGCGGCUCACUGGACCAUAACUGACGCUGAUGCACGAAAGCUAGGGGAGCAAACAGGAUUAGAUACCCCGGUAGUCC
rnacentral:rRNA from 1 species